rnacentral:rRNA from 1 species
UACGGGGGGGGCAAGCGUUGUUCGGAAUUACUGGGCGUAAAGGGCUCGUAGGCGGCCAACUAAGUCAGACGUGAAAUCCCUCGGCUUAACCGGGGAACUGCAUCUGAUACUGGAUGGCUUGAGUUCGGGAGAGGGAUGCGGAAUUCCAGGUGUAGCGGUGAAAUGCGUAGAUAUUGGGAAGAACACCGGUGGCGAAAAGCGCCCUUGCUGGGGUCUGCAUU